CCAGCAGCCGCGGUAAUACGUAGGGUGCGAGCGUUAAUCGGAAUUACUGGGCGUAAAGCGUGCGCAGGCGGUUAUGUAAGACAGAUGUGAAAUCCCCGGGCUCAACCUGGGAACUGCAUUUGUGACUGCAUGGCUAGAGUACGGUAGAGGGGGAUGGAAUUCCGCGUGUAGCAGUGAAAUGCGUAGAUAUGCGGAGGAACACCGAUGGCGAAGGCAAUCCCCUGGACCUGUACAGACGCUCAUGCACGAAAGCGUGGGGAGCAAACAGGACUAGAUACCCUGGUAGUCCACGCCCUAAACGAUGUCAACUGGUUGUUGGGAAUUAGUCUUCUCAGUAACGAAGCUAACGCGUGAAGUUGACCGCCUGGGGAGUACGGCCGCAAGGUCGAAACUCAAAGGAAUUGACGGGGACCCGCACAAGCGGUGGAUGAUGUGGUUUAAUUCGAUGCAACGCGAAAAACCUUACCCACCUUUGACAUGGCAGGAAGUUUCCAGAGAUGGAUUCGUGCUCGAAAGAGAACCUGCACACAGGUGCUGCAUGGCUGUCGUCAGCUCGUGUCGUGAGAUGUUGGGUUAAGUCCCGCGACGAGCGCA
rnacentral:rRNA from 1 species